GGCCCUCGGCUGACGGCUCAGUAACACGUGGAUAAUCUGCCCUAUGGUGGAGGAUAACCUCGGGAAACUGAGAACAAUACUCCAUAGGUCUAAGAUGCUGGAAUGCACUUAGGCUGAAAACUCCGGUGCCAUAGGAUGAGUCUGCGGACUAUCAGGUUGUAGUCAGGGUAAAGACCUGACUAGCCUACGACGGAUAUGGGUUGUGGGAGCAAUAACCCAGAGAUGAUAUCUGAGACACGAUAUCAGGCCCUACGGGGCGCAGCAGGCGCGAAAACUUCACAAUGCGCGAAAGCGCGAUGAGGGGAUCCCAAGUGUAUGCACGUAAGUGUAUACUGUUUUUAUGUAUAGAAAGCAUAGAGAGUAAGGGCUGGGUAAGACGGGUGCCAGCCGCCGCGGUAAUACCCGCAGCUCAAGUGGUGACCACUAUUAUUGGGCCUAAAACGUUCGUAGCCGGCUUGGUAAAUGCCUGGGCAAAUCGUGUAGCUUAACUAUACGAAUUCCGGGUAGACUGUCAAGCUUGAGACCGGGAGAAGUUAGAGGUACUCCUGGGGUAGAGGUGAAAUUCUGUAAUCCUAGGGGGACCACCAGUGGCGAAGGCGUCUAACUAGAACGGGUCUGACGGUGAGGGACGAAGCCCUGGGGCGCAAACCGGAUUAGAUACCCGGGUAGUCCAGGGUGUAAACGCUGCUUGCUUGAUGUUAGUCAGGCUCCGAGCCCGAUUAGUGUCGGGGUGAAGAUGUUAAGCAAGCUGCCUGGGAAGUACGGUCGCAAGAUUG
rnacentral:rRNA from 1 species